GUGGGGAAUUUUGGACAAUGGGGGCAACCCUGAUCCAGCCAUCCCGCGUGUGCGAUGAAGGCCUUCGGGUUGUAAAGCACUUUUGGCAGGGAAGAAAAGGCGCCGGCUAAUACCUGGCGCCGCUGACGGUACCUGCAGAAUAAGCACCGGCUAACUACGUGCCAGCAGCCGCAGUAAUACGUAGGGUGCAAGCGUUAAUCGGAAUUACUGGGCGUAAAGCGUGCGCAGGCGGUUCGGAAAGAAAGAUGUGAAAUCCCAGGGCUUAACCUUGGAACUGCAUUUUUAACUGCCGGGCUAGAGUAUGUCAGAGGGGGGUAGAAUUCCACGUGUAGCAGUGAAAUGCGUAGAGAUGUGGAGGAAUACCGAUGGCGAAGGCAGCCCCCUGGGAUGAUACUGACGCUCAUGCACGAAAGCGUGGGGAGCAAACAGGAUUAGAAACCCUUGUAGUCC
rnacentral:rRNA from 1 species